GAGGUCACUGCCAGCGCUGAUCCUCGGGUGACCUCCUUCUCAGAACCUCUACUGUGAGGACUGGACGAAGGGGGCUUGGCACGGGGAGAGGCAAUAGGAGCUGCCAGGGACCGGGAGGAGAGACGAUGCAGAGUCACUGCUGAAGACAAGAACCGAAAGGCCAAACUGGAGGGCAAAAGAAGCUACCCUGAUGGUGGCUCAUGGAGCGGGACAUGUUCUUGGGCUUCCACCUCUCUUGGAAGGCCACCCAGGGCCAGCACAGGACCUGUUCCGGGAUAUAUGCCAAAUGGACAUGGAGUG